rnacentral:rRNA from 1 species
UACGUAGGGUGCAAGCGUUGUCCGGAAUUAUUGGGCGUAAAGAGCUCGUAGGCGGUCUGUCGCGUCGGCUGUGAAAACCUGGGGCUUAACUCCGGGCCUGCAGCCGAUACGGGCAGACUAGAGUUCGGCAGGGGAGACUGGAAUUCCUGGUGUAGCGGUGAAAUGCGCAGAUAUCAGGAGGAACACCGGCGGCGAAGGCGGGUCUCGUGGGCCAUAACUGACGCUGAGGAGCGAAAGCGUGGGGAGCGAACAGG